GCAAACGUGCUACAAUGGCUAAUACAAACUGCUGCAAAAUCGUAAGAUGAAGCGAAACAGAAAAAGUUAGUCUCAGUUCGGAUAGAGGGCUGCAAUUCGUCCUCUUGAAGUUGGAAUCACUAGUAAUCGCGAAUCAGACAUGUCGCGGUGAAUACGUUCCCGGGC
rnacentral:rRNA from 1 species